GCACAUGAUCGAUUGUGUACCUAUCUAUCAUACUGAAUACAAAUAAAUACGAAGGCCGUAUUGUGUAAGUUGACAGACGGGUGUUUUAUGAGGUAGCUUGCACAAUGCAUGACGGUCCACGGGGCGCAUUUACGCCAUUACUAUCACUUCAACGCUUUUCUAUCUGGUACUUUUUGUUGAAAAUGAUGGUUAAACAAAACCAAGUACAUGUAUUACUGGUUCUGACUGUGACUUUCAUCCAUGGUGUAUCCCCUACACAAGCCCCGAGUCCAGGUGGAGUGGCAACCUUGAAGACAGAAUACACCAUAACUGGUGCCAGAAGCAACUAUACCGGCUUUAUAUGGGUACGACCAACUGACGGUCGGUAUGUCGUCACCUGCAACCCCAGCUGCAGCCCCGUGGCUGGAUACAGUGCAACUAUGAACGCCACACACUCUACACUCACUAUACACAGUGUCGGAGUGAAUGAUGCUGGAACAUGGAGGAUACAAGAUGCAAUAAAUGAUACAAGUGCGCCGCAAGGCGUGUGGGAAGUGAUGGUCUCCAAAACUCCAGAAUGUAACAUCAGCAGUGAUGUGGACACAGACGCCCUUGAGCUCGGCACAAACCUGACAGUCACAGUGUACAUCAACGACUACUACUGUUCCCAGGAAACUGGCUUUAACCUUACCACUGGUGCUGUCAUGGAGACGUUGUCGACAAAACACAACGUCAGUGAUGUCCAACCUGACGUCAUUAACAAAACUAUCAAUAUUGUCCUUUCACGUUUUGGUGACGUCACGGUGUCGUUUGCAUGUGACAUCAUGAGCAGUGAUCUGAGCUGUAGUGGAGUUAAGAGGUUGUUAAAAAGUCCCCCACAGUGCAACAUCAGCAGUGAUACAGACACUGAUGUACUGGAGCCAGGUACAAAUCUCACCCUGACAGUAGACAUCAGAGGCUACUACUGUUCUCAACAAGCUGGGUUUGAUCUAACUACAGGCAGCGUCACAGACGUCUUGUUGCAGAACCAGACCACGCACAACAUCACCGACACUGUCCAGCACCACUUCUUCAACGUCUCAUCUGAUCGUUUUGGAAAUGUCAGUGUUAUGUUUAGAUGUGACAACAGCAAUAGAUCAAUUACGUGCGAUGGAGUUUCCAAGUUGAGCGCUGCUUCUUCACCAACAACAGCCCCCACAUCGACAGCUGCUCCUUCACCAACAACAUCCCCUACGUCGACAGCUGCUCCUUCACCAACAACAUCCCCCACAUCGACAGCUGCUCCUUCACCAACAACAUCCCCUACGUCGACAGCUGCUCCUUCACCAACAACAUCCCCCACAUCGACAGCUGCUCCUUCACCAACAACAUCCCCUACGUCGACAGACCAGCAUGUAGCGUGAAUAUUGCUGAUUUCGGCGUUAAACAACGUACACACAAACGAAACUGUCGUCAAACCAUUCCAUCAGGUACGUAACUACCAUCCUCACCCGUUCCUGUGUCGAUUCCAGGCUAGAAUAGGUCCUCCACAACCCAAGAGUCGGUGACUUGGUGGAUUUCAUGUUCUGUUUUUACUUGUGUAGAUCGAUGGUC
rnacentral:misc_RNA from 1 species